rnacentral:rRNA from 1 species
AUUGAUUUUAUGCUUGCAUAAAUGAUUUUUUGGAUUCGGAGCGAGUGGCGAACUGGUGAGUAACACGUGGGUAACCUGCCCCGAAGCGGGGGAUAACAUUUGGAAACAAGUGCUAAUACCGCAUAAUUAGUUGGAACCGCAUGGUUCCAACUUGAAAGAUGGCUCUGCUAUCACUUUGGGAUGGACCCGCGCCGUAUUAGUUAGUUGGAGAGAUAAAAGCCCACCAAGACGAUGAUACGUAGCCGACCUGAGAGGGUAAUCGGCCACAUUGGGACUGAGACACGGCCCAGACUCCUACGGGAGGCAGCAGUAGGGAAUCUUCCACAAUGGACGAAAGUCUGAUGGAGCAACGCCGCGUGAGUGAUGAAGGUUUUCGGAUCGUAAAACUCUGUUGUUAAAGAAGAACAAGUGUUAGAGUAACUGUUAACACUUUGACGGUAUUUAACCAGAAAGCCACGGCUAACUACGUGCCAGCAGCCGCGGUAAUACGUAGGUGGCAAGCGUUGUCCGGAUUUAUUGGGCGUAAAGCGAGCGCAGGCGGUUUUGUAAGUCUGCUGUGAAAGCCCUCAGCUCAACUGAGGAAGUGCAGUGGAAACUACAAAACUUGAGUACAGAAGAGGAAAGUGGAACUCCAUGUGUAGCGGUGAAAUGCGUAGAUAUAUGGAAGAACACCAGUGGCGAAGGCGGCUUUCUGGUCUGUUACUGACGCUGAGGCUCGGAAGCAUGGGUAGCGAACAGGAUUAGAUACCCUGGUAGUCCAUGCCGUAAACGAUGAAUACUAGGUGUUGGAGGGUUUCCGCCCUUCAGUGCCGCAGCUAACGCAUUAAGUAUUCCGCCUGGGGAGUACGACCGCAAGGUUGAAACUCAAAGGAAUUGACGGGGGCCCGCACAAGUGGUGGAGCAUGUGGUUUAAUUCGAUGCUACGCGAAGAACCUUACCAGCUCUUGACAUCUUCUGCCAACCCAAGAGAUUGGGCGUUCCCUUCGGGGACAGAAUGACAGGUGGUGCAUGGUUGUCGUCAGCUCGUGUCGUGAGAUGUUGGGUUAAGUCCCGCAACGAGCGCAACCCUUAUUAUUAGUUGCCAGCAUUUAGUUGGGCACUCUAGUGAGACUGCCGGUGAUAAA